rnacentral:snRNA from 1 species
GGGUGUCCCCUUUCUCUCUCACUGUUCCAUGUGCCUCCCUCCCAAGGCUGUAGGCUCAGUCGAAGAGGACUACCUUCCCCCACUAGAGGAAGACUAGUCUUCAGACAAGGAUAUACGAGUAGCUGUCUCUCCUGCUAGAACCUCCAAAUAAGCUCUCAAGGUAUUUUUUUCUUGUAUGUUUAUUUCAAUAUCUAAAAAUUGAGAAAGUUAAGUGUGCUAGAUCUUU